AUUGAACGCUGGCGGCAUGCCUAACACAUGCAAGUCGAGCGGAGCGGCGGACGGGUGAGUAAUGCCUAGGAAUCUGCCUGGUAGUGGGGGAUAACGUCCGGAAACGGGCGCUAAUACCGCAUACUAUCAGAUGAGCCUAGGUCGGAUUAGCUGGUGCGUGGGUUAAAGGCCUACCAAGGCGACGAUCCGUAACUGGUCUGAGAGGAUGAUCAGGAACACUGGAACUGAGACACGGUCCAGACUCCUACGGGGGGCAGCAGUGGGAAAUAUUGGACAAUGGGCGAAAGCCUGCUCCAGCCAUGCCGCGGGUGUGAAGAAGGUUUUCGGAUUGUAAAGCACUUUAAGUUGGGAGGCGUUACCAACAGAAUAAGCACCGGCUAACUACGUGCCAGCCGCCGCGGUAAUUC
rnacentral:rRNA from 1 species